GUUUCUGAAGAUGACCAGAUUAUGCACACUCUCGCAGGUCUUGGUCCUGAAUAUGAUUCAGUAAUGGUCACCAUUACCUCUAAGCCUGAGGUUUGGUCACUGGGAGAUGUUAGCACUCUACUCUUGAGCUUUGAAA